rnacentral:lncRNA from 1 species
UACCAAUUUUAACAGCACGUCACUUUGUGUAUCCCUCCACACUGAAAUUGGGUGUGUGCAAGGGAAGGACUAGGGAAGACAAUGUCACCAAAAAGUAAAGAAAUAUUGAAGGUACUAGUACCAAAGAAUUUAUACACGUUUCCACAGGCUCCAAGACCUAUCCUGCUACUAACUGAAAAUAAUUGUUGUGUUCAUUGGAGUUCAAUAACCGCUUAAAAUCAUUCAUUCUGGCAUAUUGCAGCCAAAAUAGAAUCGUCACAUAAUUGACAAUAGAAGUGAGAAUUCAGAAGACACAAUGGAACAGGAAAUUUACAGAGCCACUGUAAGGUUAGCUCAACAUCAAACAGUAAUAAAAAAGGCCAGAAACAGUUAGUCAUAUUCUGCAUCAUCUGUAUCAGUGGGAGGCAACAUGGGAACCAGAACAGAGUCUGCACUAUGGUGCAAAGAAACUAAAUUAUGCUUUUGUGCACUCUUGUGCAAAGAACUAAAUUAAGCUUUUGUGCAAACUGAAGUAAGAGUGACGACGGAUCAGGAAAGAUACUAGUUUUCAUUUGUCAUCAAGCAGCAGGAGCACCCUAAAUUAGUUUUGCAUUCAUGCUGCAAGGCAGUAGUUGAAUUUAUUCUUACCCAUCUUAUAUGAUUUUUCAAGUUGCUACUCCUUCAUUGAGAUUCAAGCAUUUGGGACAUAUAAUUAAACAAUCAAUCCUAGUAAAACAUGUAUUGGCCAUCUUAUGAUGACAGGAAUUUAGCCAUCAUAAUUCUCAAUCCCUUUCUCCUUACUUACCAGGUCAGUUAGUUUUAUUAAUCCAGCCAAAUCUAUGAGAAUCUAGCUUUUCCUGGUUAAAUGCAUAAUAUAUAAAGGCUGUAUAUUGAAUCUUGAUGUAUUGAUUCACACUUGAGACAUUUGAAUUUGUAAAAUUAUAAAUAUAGGAGCCACGUCUCAUAUUGUAAAACCAAGGUAAACCAGCAAGUGAAACUGUAUUCAUAGAAAGUCAUGUUAGUCAUAAACAAAGAUUGAGAAGAGGAAGUACUUACAGCAAUGGGAAUAUAAGCAUGUCUGCUGUUUACUGGACCAACUGUGAAUCCUGUGUACCCAGCCAUGGCCCCAUGAACAGCACUUUGUGCUAGAAGACUGCAAUAAAUGUUGUCUGAUGCAUUACUUGGGAUAGCUCUAAUCAUGUAUGUAGGAUCUGCAUACGAAAAUAUAAAAAUUUAGAUACAUAGACCUCCUCUUUCAUCAGCACAGGAGGAGAUUUUCCACAAGGUUCUCAAGCAUACUUUCUUAAUUCUUGAUCCUAAAAUAUCAAACUUGAUGUAGAACAAUUAUUUGAAGAGUUACUAUUUUCUUGUUUGACAAGGUUCUCAAACUUGACAAGGCCAAGCCUGAAAAGAAGUAAAAAAAAAGAGCAUAUGAUAUGAAGCUUGAAGUCACUAUUUUCUUGUUUUAAUUAUUUUCCUAAUUAAUUUUAGAUUUUAAUUAUUUUUUUUCUACUUAGCUUAGAACUUUUAAUUUAAUUAGUAUUUUACUAUUUAGAAAUCCUAAUGCUAGAUGUAUUCUAUUAAUUAGAUAUAUUUUGAUUAGAAAUCAUUUCUUAUAAAGGAUUUUAGUUUUAAUCAGAAAUCAUUUCCUAUAAAGGAUUUUAGGACUACUAUUAAUAGGAAUGUCUAAUUUAUUUUAUGAAAAUGAAGACUAUUGUUCAGAUUUUUAUAAAAUUCCAGAGAAUUUUCUCUAAAUUUCUCUACAACUUAGGUUUGUAAUUUUAGAGCUUGAGAACUCUAGUUUUAUCUUCACUAUACACUGCAUUAGGUGGUAUCAAAUAAGGUCAACAUCCAAAUUGAUAGCGAAUCGUGAAGAGAAUCGUGGAGCAGUUGGAGGCAACCAUCUUCGUGACGGUGAUUAGGAGAUGUAGGCUGUUAAUCAACUAGAUUGUCAUUUAGUAGCAAUAGUAGCUUUAAGGAGCAAGUGCAAACUGGGUUUGGCAACAUCAACACCAAAUUUGAUGACUUUAAAACCAGGCUUGAGACACUAGGGUUGCGCGCAAACAUGAACCGGGAAAGAAAAGAGGCAUGCACUGGGGAUGAAGCUCACGGUCAACCUAUCAUCGAACUAGUACGUACAAAUCCUCGUGGUCACUAUUACUACGAGUAUUCAUCUAAUGAAGAAGAUCUAUUUCGGUUGAUGGAAGGCAUAAAUAGGAAUCGCAAAGAGUAGAGGAACAUGUUUGGAGAUUUGCCUCGAGAUCGACCUUACCUUAGACCUAUUCCUAAAAUUCCACCUAGACAACCACUUGUCUAUAUGAUGGUUGUUAGUGAAGAUGAACUUGAUAGAGGUCGUGGAACCUUGUCAAAUCAAGACAAACAACCACAACCUGAGAGACAGAAAUCGAUCAUCGUGAUUGAAGGUCAAAAUAAACAACAAUCUCUCGAUGACGAGGAUGUUCUAUGCGAACUUGAUGGAGAUGAUGAAAGAUUUAUAUGAUGAUGAAGAUCUUGCAAACAAUGACAUGGAAGGCUCAGUAAUUUCUGGCAAGUCUUUUGGAUAUAUUAUGGAUGAUUAUUUUGGUGUUCAUUUAAAUACAAUGGCUGAAGUAUUUAAGGACAUAAAUGAUGAUAAACUCCAAGUUUGAAGUAGAAAAAUAUUGGAAGAAACUACAAGUAGGCUUAUAAAAAUAAAAAAGUAUAUCAGAUAUGGAUUUUUCCUUAUUAUACCCAUAUUAAAUUUUGAAGUUCAAAAGUCAAAGACAUGCUACUUCGUGAAUAAAUUAGUUAUGGUAUUGUACUCGGAAGUAUUUUUUUUCUAUGGAGUUCAGGUUCAGUUUCUGACAAAUAACUCGAGGAUGAGUAUUUUUCAAGUGGGGGAGACUGACGUAGAACAAUUAUCUCAGAGGUUUACGAACCAUAUUGACAAGGACAAGCCCGAAAAGAAAUCCACAAAGAAACCCAGAAGCAUAUGAUAUGAAGCCUGAAGUUACUAUUUUCUUGUUUUAAUUAUUUUCCAAAUUAAUUUUGUAUUUUAAUUAUUUAUUUCCUACUUAGCUUAGAACUUUUAAUUUAAUUAGUAUUUUACUAUUUAAGAAUCCUAAUGUUAGAUGAAUUCUAUUAAUUAGAUAAGUUUUAUUUAGGAAUCAUUUCCUAUAAAAGAUUUUAGUUUUAAUUAGGAAUCAUUUCCUUUAAAGAAUUUUAUGACUAAUAUAAAUAGAGAAGUCAAGUUUAUUUAAUGAAGAUGAAGACUAUUAUUCAAAUUUUUAUAAAAUACCAGAGUUUUAUCUAAAUUUUUCUAUAGCUUAGAUCUAUAACCUUAGGGCUUGAGAACCCUAGUUUUAUCUUCGCUAUACGCUGUGUCAAAACUCGAUGAAUAUUACAGAAUUUAACCAUAUGAACCUUUCUGGUCUAGCCUCAAAUCAGUACGUGUUUUUAGGACAAGAUAUUUAACAUGACCUCUCAUUACCUACAAAUAAGCAUAUGCCAAGUGCAUUGUUUAAUUUAUAUUUUCCCUAAAAACAAUAUCCAAAAUUAGUUUUCUUAAAAAAGUCGCCCUUGAAAUAGGAUAGUGUUUAGCAGAAGUUAGAAUCACCAGAUGCAACAGUUUCUAAACCAAAGAUAAAAUGCUAAUGCAAUCAUUUAGAAGGUACCUAUAUAUUUCAUAUUUAUCUCCAUCUUCUUCACCUUUGUAAAAUGAUCCUGCAAAACGAGAUAAUAAAAGUAUAAAUGGAACUAGCACUAACACUAAUAGUGCAAAAGUAAAUAGAUGCGAUGACAAAAAUGAAAGAAAUGGUCUAUCUCAACAAAAUGAUAGAUACAACAACAUAACUGUAUUAAAAUUAGCUAUUAGGCAAUUGUCAAAUUGCCAAUUUACCACCUAACAAGGUUGCUAUGUGGCAUUAUAGGUCCAUGGAGAUCAUUUUGAGGCCCCGUGAGAAUUAGAUCACCAAGUUUGAGAUAAGCAAUUGCUUAGCUUGACAGGGCAGUGGCAAUCAGAAGGAAAGGAAAUAAAUAACAAGCUCAUGGAAAAGAAAAGGUAAUAAAUACAAUGUUCUUGAAAUGAAAAACAUGAGUUAAGAGAGGUGGCGACUUUUAGUACCCACCUUAACCUUUUGAGUUAACCACAGACCAACAUCAAGAAGUAGCCUGUUCCCUGAUGCAUCUCUCUCAUCAGCUGCCUGCAUGGCCUGAGCAACGUAUUCCUGCCCGGCUCCUUCUGCUAUCACAAUAACCAUAUGCCCAUUUUCUUUGAUCCUCUGUUCAAUAAAUUCAAAAAGACCACCAGGACCUUCCAGAUAGAAUGGUGAUUCUGGAAUCAAGCAACAAUCCUGUUAUAUCCCAACCAUGUUUAGCAUAUCACUCAGUUGUAAUAUUAUGAGUGAUUGCAAGCAAUAAACCACACCGUCUAAGCACAUUCUGAAGCAAUGUCUUCUCCAACACUUCGUUUGGAGAAGGAAAAAGAACAGUACGCUGAAAGUGAAAAAAGCGGGAAUAUAGUUUAUAUAAUUACUCACACACAGACACAUACAUGCGCGCGUGUGUGAAGCAAUAUGUUUUCUAGAAAAAAAGAGCCUGCAACUUCAUUACUAUAAAGGGUGGGGGAAAAAGCAAGCAUAAAUCUACCAUUUUCUGAUACAUCCAGUGUCAAAGACAGUAUUUUGCACUACCAAAUUUUUCCUAACACAAAAUUCUGUUGUUAAGGAAUAGAGAUUAAAACAACAAAUCAUUGCUUCAUACACACACAAAAUAAGCCAAACUUCCUGAAACUGCCAAACUUGGAGGUAAAGGAACCACAUUAUUGUUAUGACUCAAUAAAACAGGAUGAUCAUGGCUAAAGUUACUAGCCAACAAGUAACUUGCUCAAUCUUAUGUCCCCGCCAAGUUACUAAUUAGUUUCCAAUUCUCUCAGCAACUGCCUUGGAUUUACUUAGCAUCAAAUAUCACACUCUAAUAAUGGGUCCAAAUAUUUGUAAGUUCAGGAAUCACUGUUAGCCAACAAAAGUCUUACCACAUCUCGACUUGCCAAAGUUGCAAACAUUGCAAUGAAACCUGCAGGAUUCAAAAGGAAAGGAAGAAGGAAGGUAAGAAUAAAUAUAGUGAUAAUCUUAUGGCCAUCAAUGUGCCAUCUAUUAAUCUAUGUUCAAAAAGUUUACCACUGUAUCUGCCCAUCAGUUUAACAAUCCCAACUCCAUUUUCCACACUUUCAACCUCCACAUGUGCAGCAUUAAUUGCUCUCUGAGCUUCUUCAACAGCGGUAUCAAAUCCAAAAGAUUUGUCUAUCACCUGGAACAACAACACAAUUUACUUCAUUUUCCAGAGUUCAAUACAGUUCACCUCCACCACGUCAAUUCCUCACUACAAACAUUAUUUUUUAAAAAAAAGCAAGAAGCCUUGAAAGUCAAACCUUGCUUUGAGGCAUAAAAUUGCAGAAUGGAUGACACAACUCACCGCUAUAUCAUUAUCAAUCGUCUUGGGGAUCCCAGCAACAGCCACUUGAAGACCACGUUUCUCAACUUCCUUCCAAAAACAAACCAAAAAUACAAAUUAACGUGAAGAAAAAAGCAUGCCAGUGUGACAAACUUGAAUCAUACCAUAAUGCAAGCUGACUGAUUGCUACAAUAGAACGAAGGAAAAAGUUCUAGUUGGAGAAUUAAACACCUUGUAAAUUAAAGCUGCUCCUCUCUGCGUGCCAUCACCUCCAAUAAUAUAUACCUAAAUAUCCACCAAAAAACCAGUCUACCUUAUUCCAUUCAGGUCGCAUACCAUAUUCAGAAAUUUUUACCAAAGAAAAAGGCAUGUCAACCUGAUUUAUUCUCCUGUCCUGAAUAUUAUCAACUAUCUUGUUUGCGUCAUGACCUCCUCGUGAAGUGCAAAGAAAUGUGCCACCACGCUUAUGUAUAUCAUUCACAACUUUGGGCGUCAAAUUUAUGGUGUUUUUUGAAUAAAAACCCCUAUAACCUCCCUGAAAAUACAAUCAUUCAUUCAAAACCUCUUUCUUAAACAAAACAAAGCAAACCAUUCAACAAUUAAACACAACCCCCUACGUAUCUCUGAAUAAAACUCACCAUAAUGCCAAGUACAUCAUCAACUCCAUACAUAUAAUUCAAUCCGCAUACAAUCUCGCGAAUCACUGUAUUGAUCCCGGGACAUAAACCCCCACAUGUCACUAUGCAAGCACGCACUUCAUCAGGCAUAAAAUACACCUGCAUGGCAUCGCACCAAUCAAAAACAAUCAGCUUCUACCAUUUCACACCCGAUGCAGUGCUCCCUAGCUCGCAUUCAUGCUGUGCCUAAUGUAGUUAUCGAGUGGGCCCCACCUGUGGAAGCACGUGCACCCAGCCCCCCGUGUACUGAAUAAUUCCUCAAAAAAUUAAUCCAAAAUGAAUAAAUUAUUAUUAAAAUUUAUAAAAGUAACAUACCUUCUCUCUGGGGCCGGCUCGCCGGAAAUGGACACCUCUAGGACUAUCUUUAUGAACAACAAUCUACCCAAAAGAAAAAAAUAGAGUGAGAAUGAUUGAAUGACAUGUCGUUUACAGAAGAAAAAUGAUAUGUUAAGUGAGCUUACAUUUUGUGCGACUGCAUCUUCUGGUCCAACAAAAGUCUGCCUGCCCAAUUCAAAUUUUUAAAAUAACAGCAGAAAUUUUAUAUUAAUUAAAAGAAAAAAAUAAUAAAUUCAUGUACUUGACAAUCGCGUAGGCAUGGCUGUGAUGUAAAGGAUUUGGAUACGACUGCAAAAAAAAAAAAAAAUCCUAAAAUGGAAAAUAAAAAGGGAAGUUUUAAUGAAGGAAAAACAGAAUGAUUGAUUACUGGUAGAUGAGGGAGGAAAUCAGUCAAGUGAGGCACAUCUUCGAGGACGAAACCAUCAUCGUUAAGAGCUCUGACUCUGAAUGGGCGAUUUUGGCGCCAAAAUAAUGAUUUUGUAGGGGGUUUUUUGGAUUUGAGAGAGAAGUCGGGGUUAAAUUGAAAUAAUGAGAAUUUGUGGGAGUUCAAUAAUAGCAAGUCAAACGAAGAGGGAGAAGCAGCAAGUGAGAGAUCCAUCGUCGAAACCGAGAACCUGAAACUGUGUGGGAAAGAGAUCGUUUGUUUCGGUAAUGGAGGAAUGAUUAGGUGCGGACAACUUAGCUGGAUCUUUAAUAACGUGCCACGUUGAUAUUUUAAACAUUUCUCUGACUUCUCGGUGGCUUUGAUUUGCUGACGGUUCAAUCGAGGAUUCUGGAGUCGUGUACAACUCUGAUCUAUGAACUUUGAUAAUUUGGUUUUAAUUACAAACCGACCAAAUCAAAAAACAGAAUUCUUUCCUUCUUCAUAAAUUUUUUUAUUAAAAAACAACGAAAAUAGCUUUUAUUUGAAACAAUUUUAAAAAACAAAUGAGCAAAUAAGCUUUAGUUUAUAAUAGACUUUUUGUUUUUUAUGAGUUGUUUUUAUUUGAUUCAAUUCAAUUUAGUUCAGUUUCAAGAAUUUAAAACCAAAACCAAACUGAAUUUUUUCAAGUUUUCUAUCCGAAAUUAUCCACAAAAAAAAUGGGAAACAAUUCAGUUAAUUUCAAAUCAGGAUUUAUGAAUAUUUUGGAUAAUUCAGUUAAUUUGCUCAACCCUAAGCACUAACAAAUGAAUAGGCCUAUAUUUAUAGCAUUCGUUUAUUCAUAAUUAUAAAGUACGUGUGCAAUACAUACAAUACAUGAAUGAAUAAACAAAAUUUAUAUUAAAUUGCUCAUAGUUUUUGCUGAAUUCACCAUCACCAUGAUAGUUGACAUUCUUCAACCUGCAACAAAUGUACAGAUCAAUGGUCCAGACAAAUUGAAUUUCAACAGCAUGCUCAUAAUAACUUACCAUAUUGGACCUCGCAUCCAGCUGUAAUGUGUUAUGUCUAAGUAGCCACUGGCUUCACAGAAGAAAAUGAUCGAUCAUAUGUUGUACGACAUCCGCGCCUUCUAUAUGCAUGCUCUGAUCUUUAACCUGUGAAAUAUACAGAGUGGCAUAUGGUUCCUUUAGAUAACAGAGACUUGUAUAUUACAUUUAUUUUCAUUUUCCAAGGUGUUUCCUUGCACCUGAGCACUGAUGACACCGCCAUUCUUCCUAAGAGAUAAUUAGCAUUUUCAAAUCACAUGCCCAAAAAACACAGCACAUCUGUGAGGAUGAAUGUAAGAUACAUGCAUGCAUGCACGCACACAUAGGGGGGGAAGGGAGAGACCUGAAUGACACUAUGAGCAGCAAACCUCUGUCUGCAGGUGUGGAAGCUAGCGUCUACUUUUUCCCAUGACACACGGGAUAGACCUGUCACUAGUUCCUCUGCACAAAUAAGGUCCAGUUAACAAACUUGUAAAAUUGAAGAACUAACCAUAAUUAAGGACAAUGGAAAUUUCGAAAAAUACAUUCAUUGGCAAAAUUGGUAAAAGCAAAAGCAAUUAAAACGAAUAGAGCUAGCAUAGCUGCUGCAUUGCUUCAUUCAAAAUAUACCUUCUAACUUGUCGAAACUAUCAUCAUCUGUUGAAACAAGCUCAGACUGCUCAGUGUCGCAGGCCUUGCAGCAUUCUUCGUAUACAAUAUGUGGAUAUUCCUUGUUAAUAUAAUCCUCCCACUAAAAGGAAAAUGACAUUUUAGUAAGUACAUUCUAACCAACAGGCAAUAAUAUAGAGGAAAAUUACACAGUGGGAGCAGAGGUACCUUCGGCAAUUCAAUAUUACGUCUAAUGGACGAUGUUCUCCAGCCCACAAUAUCUAAACAGUUUUCAUCAAGGGAACAGAGAAAUAGAGACUGUCAAGUUUUCAGAUUAUAUAUUGAUGGUUAGCUGCUUUGAAGAAAUAAAAAGGAUACGAUCAUAGCAAACAUUUGAAUAUGCUACCCGACGUUUGAAUAUACGCAAUGCUGACCUACAAAAUUAGUUAGGUGCUCUUAUUAAUUACAUAUUUGGAUAUCAUAAAGAUGGCAUCUCAAGAAACUAUAAAAGAAAGGAAUCUGCACAAAGAACUGCUGUGUAUGUGGCAUACAUGAAAAAACAAUCACCAUAAUCUUCUAUCAUGCGUUUAAGCAAUGGAGGUUUGCCCUCAUCAUCAUCAUUCAAAAAAAGGUGCCGGCCUGUUCUCUUAAAUAUCCAAUGAAUCAAGAGGUUGGCUGCUUGCUCAAAGGCAGUUACACCAAAAAGAAAUGGAACCUGCAAUGAAAACAUGUUUUGAACAAAAUACUAAGGAUGCUUAAUGUGAAUUCAAUGAGAGCUAAGAUUAAGGAAUCAUUAACAUGUGCAAUUGGCAUAGUAGCAGGAAACAAGUAAUACUGUUUGUAUGCUCAGAUUUAGUAACAAGGAAGUUAUAAUGGAAAAAUGAGUUCAAAUGAAUUCCACUAGCAGUCAACUAAUGACUAUAAUCAAAAUAGAGAAGUCAGGAGUCCAGCUUGUUUUUUCCUGGAUAAAGCACCCUAUUGAACCAUGCCAUGAACAACAGUAUGACAUGAUUUUCUCUUUCAUCAUCAUUGUCUUGGCCAGAUUUCACCCUAAAAAGUUGCUUAUCCAGUAAAACUAUCAUAUACAAGUAUGAGAUUCUAGUUUGCUUGCAAUAAAAGAGACCCAUUCUAUGUUCCCUACUGCUCAUAGUAUAAGGAUAGAGAUAACCCUUGGUUGCUCUCUUUUAUCUGUUUGCAUACAAACAUGCUUUUAUAACAUCUAACCCAGUGCGCUAUGGUCAAUUCAUACAGCAAACAAGAGAAAUUCAUCAUCUUCAAGCAAACACUCUUGUAAGUAUGAGAGAAGCAUAAAAUACCAUUUCAGCACCUUAUCCAAAACAAUCCUACUCAAUACACACAAAAUUUUUCCUUACAAAAACAUUUUAACAACCUGAUCUUUUGCUUUUUCAAUGUUUUGAGUGGAUGAUGAUGAAAUUCGAAAAUUUAAAUGAAAAGAAACAGUCAAAAUAGAAUACCUGCUUAUUUCCCCUGGAACCAAGGUGUGGUGUAGCAACAGUGAUAAAGUUCAUAGGCUCCAAGCCACCAAUUGUAGCCUUUAAGUCAUCUAUGCUUGUACCAUCAGUUGAAUCUUCUACGUUUUCUUUCUUGGGUGGUCUAUACAAUCUCCCAAUUGCAUAUCUCGCCACUAAUCCUCCCACAGAAUGUGCAACAAAUGAAAUCUUCUGCAAAUUUGGCUUUCUUUGAAUCACUUCAAGUACCUAAAAUUCAAAUAUUCCAUCGAUAAUCCAGCAUAGAAAAUGCAACCAAAUUUAGUAAAUAAUUACAGGUAAACCCACGAAUCUAAGAACUACUGUACCUCCUCGGCCAAACGGUCGCCCAUCACAUCAACACCAUCAAGUGUCAGCCUAAACAUAUUUUUUUCACUACCUACAAUGCAAGUAAAACCAACCUAAGCAUUCCAUUCUUUGUAGAAAUAAAACAAAUAGCAAAAGAAUUGAUUUAAACUCCACUCAACAAACAUCUAAAUACCAAACUAAAAAGGAAGGGUUUCGCUUCAUAUCAAUAUCGAAAACAAAACUAAUGAUACUUACAAUGAACAAAUACUUUAUCAGGUAAAGUUCUAACAAACUGCUCUGCUCCAAACUUCCAAUCAGUGUUACUGAUCAUUCAAGCAAAACGCCCACAAUUAGCAAACAACAGAACUAAUUCAAUAAUUAAGCCUAAAAAUUCAGUUAGCUCAAAAAAAGACAAACUUCAAGAGGAAGUUGACAUUUUGAUCUCAUAAUCAACAAAAAUAAACCAAACCCAGAUUUUAAAAAAAAAUCACUAGACUGGGGGCAAUCAACAGAAGUAAUUGAAUUCCAAAUUCAGGAAUUGAGGGUGAAAAUUCAUCAAAAUAAAAAAGGACAACUUUCAGAGAAAGUUUACAUUUUUUAUCUCGUAUUCAACAAAAAUAAACCAACUCCAGAUCAAAAAAUUCAAUAAAUAACGCAAAGAAAUCAUGAUAACUAGUAAUUAUUGAUAAAAAAAUUGAAAAAAAAUUAAAGAAAAAAUCAUACCUUCCAAGGAUACCGUGGACCAUAAUGACAAGAUGAUCAGCAGAAGAAGAAUCAGAAUUUUUACAACUCCAAACAUCAGAGCUAACAUUCACUGAUUCUGUUGAACAAACUCCGUUCUCUACAGCUCUGUUCUCCAUGAUUUAUUAGUCCAAUUCUUACUUUAAUCUCUCCUCUUUCUUUAUGGUUUUUCAGUUAAAAAAAAUGCAUUUAAAUAUCGAUUUAAAAAAAAAUGAGAGUUGCGUUUGGAUAUUUUGUUGAUUUUCUUGGGAAAAUUGGGAGUGUUGAAUACCUAUGAAAAAAAAGUUAUAAAGAAAAGGAAAGAAAAAUGAAGGGUUUUUUUCAGAGUAGGUGCGAUUAUCCGUAAGAUUUAUCCACGUGAGAUGAUGAAAAAUAAAAAAAAUGACCUUUAGUUUUCGUUAGGCUUUUAAUUAAUAAAAAAAAACUGGAUUUGUCAUCUAAUGGCAGGAGGUUAACAGGAAUUUGUUUUAAAUUUUUGAAAGUACUUUUAAAAAAAAUUAACAGUUUGCUUAUUUUUUUAUUAUUUAAAAUUAUUUUUUUAUUUUUAAAUCACUUGUAUUAAAAAUAAAUUUUAAAAAAUAAAAAAAUAUUAUUUUAAUAUAUUUUUAAAUAAAAUAUAUUUUAAAAAAUAAUUACUAUCACGGUACUAAAUAGUCAUAAAUACUCUCUACUUUAUCUUUGUAAAUUUUAUUUAUAACUUACGAUGAAUUAUAGAUUUUAAUUGAUGUUUAAAUUGAUUUAAAAGAUAUUUAAUUCAAAUUAAAAAAAAAUUAGCAAUAAUAAUAUAAAAUGAUGAUCAUUAUUUUUAACUUUUGUUUCUUAAAAUUAACUAGGUUUGGUAUUAUGACAUAUGAUGUUUUUUAAAAAUAUUUUUUAUUUAAAAAUAUAUUAAAAUAUUUUUUGUAUUUUUAGCAAGUAUAUCAAAAUUAUUUAAAAAUAUUAAAAAAUAUUAAUUUAAUUUUUUUAAGGUAAAAUAUAAUUUUAAAAUGCAUGAAACGUAAUUUUAAAAGAAAAACAAAUUGUGCCGAAAACAUUUCUUUUAUUUUUAAAUGUUUGUGAUAAUCACAUCUUUAUUUCCUUCAAAUCUUUGUGACCUUGGUAGCUUCGUUCAUUCAUAGUAAUAUGCAUAUUUCACAAUAGUUUGUUGGGUAUUAAUAAUUGUUUUUAAAAAUAUUUUUUAUUUAAAAAUAUAUUAAAAUAAUAUUUUUUAUUUUAAAAAUUUUUAUUUAAAAAUCAAUUAUAAAAACAAAAAAAUAUCAUGAAUUAACCCGAGUUAACUUGCUAUAUAUAAAUCAUGAAAUUAGAAUAACUUUAUUAUUCAAUCAUGAAUUAACCCGAGUUAACUUGCUAUAUAUAAAUCAUGAAAUUAGAAUAACUUUAUAAAAAAAAUUAUGAAUUUAAAUUUUUAAUCAACUCAAUAUUAAAUAAUAAAUUUAAAAGGAACAAAAAAAAACUCAAGCAACCUAAUUAACUCGCAAAACUCGUUAUCUAAGUAAUGAGACCGUGAUAAUUUCACUAAAAAAAAUAUAAAAAUAAAGCUACAUUCUUAAUAAACAUAAUAAGUUGAAAUUAAAAAAAAUAAUAUUUUAAUAUAUUUAUAAAUAAAAAACACAAUUCACUAUCAUAUAAUCCAACACAUACCGCUGAAUCAUGAAACAAAAAAAAAUAAUAACAACUGGCAAUUCGGCCAUACCGCAGAGAGCACGAAGACACCCAGUCGGCCAGUCCAGAUGAAAAACAACGUCAGCGCGUUUGACUUGGGCUCGUCUAGUUUGGUAUCUUCUCCAUUCAUGGCUGAUAAAAACCUCCUUAAUUACAAGCAACCAUUUCGUAGAUACUGUGAGAAAAACUGGAUAAACUAUAUUCCAGUCCCUCAUCAUUUAUUAAUAUUCAAAUUUAACCCUUAUAAAGUAGUCUUCUGUUAUAUCAUCCAUGUAGCUACCUAAGAGUUUCGUAUUUUUUUUUCAAUAAAUAGCUAGCAAAAGUUAAUGAAAUAUUCAUUUUUUUAUAGUUGCUUCCGAAUCCUACUCUUGAAAAAAAAAUUUAUAUUUUUUAAUAAUCAAAAGUAUUUUCCUAUUAGUUUAUACAUACUGUAUGCUACUCGCUCCUUCUGACCCACACCUGUCCAUUUUAAAAUUAGUUACAAAUUUCCAAAAGACCCUGUUGAAAUCCUGAAAAAGGACCGACUUCGUUGGACUAUGUAAUUGCCUUAUCCGAAAGUUUUUCUUUAAUUUAAUUAAAAAUUUUAGAAAAUCACAAUUUGUAUCAUAAAAGUUUGUAUCGUAAACUUUGAUGUACUCGUAACAAUUUAUAUACAUUUAGUAUGUUAAUAAAAAAUCAACAAAAAUUAUUUGAUUAUUUAUAAAUUUAUUAUUACUUUUUGAUUAAAAAACUCUUAUAUUAAAUAUUAUAAAUUUAUCUUUAAAUAAAAACAAACCCAGCAAAACUUCUUCAACUCAUCUUCUUUCUUUAAACACUAAACCUAGCUGCCACUUUUCUCUUUUUUAUCUCUCGCCAGCCACCAUCUCCAACCAUAAACCCACAACCUCACCUCCUUCAACUGUGUUUAUCAUAUCUCUCUGGUGGCACUUUCAUCUCUACCACACCAACACUUGUUGUAUCAAUAAAAUCAACUAUUAACUAUAAAAAAUAUAACUUAAGUAGUCAGAUUCUAGAUUUGUUAUCUAUAAAUCAUCAGUUCAAGUCUCAGAAAUUUCAGGACCAUUAGAAGCUUACAUGAUCGUUAACUUCAGAGCUCGUAGAAUUAGUCGAGAUGCACGCAAAUUAACUCAGACACCCACACUGAUAAAAAAAAAAUUCGACUAUUAAAUCACAUAGAAAACCCAAAAUCAAGAUUACUAGCUUACAUUGCAUUUACUCCUUAAAAGAAGUAUGUUUCUAAUUUACAUAUGAUCUUGUUUUAUUGAUGAAUAAUACAACAUUCUCCAAUACUUUAGAUGUUGUAGAAUACUUUUUUCUCAUAAACUGUAAAAUGAGAAGACUAGUGAAAAUAUCUAGGAUAGCUAAGGAAGGAAAAUUGAUGGUUCUUAUGCUUCUCCUGCUUCACUUUCUUCUCCACAACCAUGGUAUUCUUCUUGUAAACUCUAGCAUCAUUACUAUUAUAAUCACCAUUAUUGUCAUUAUAUUGAUGAUUGUGCUUCGAUCUAUAUAGAUCGAAUAUUAAAAGAUUUUAUAAAUUUAUCUGGAAGUACAUGAUAAGAGGUGGAUUUAUAAAGAAUCAAAGAGAUGAUUUAAAAAAAUUAAGGUUCUUUCCAAUCUUCAAUUUGGAGUUUUUUUGGGGCUUCUAUCAAAACAUAACAAAUUACUUUUUUAAAAAAAAGAAGAGAUUCUAGUAUUAUGAGAAAACAAAAAUCGAUUAAAAACACUGGAUUUUGCUUUUGAUUUGAGUUUAGAUUACUAUGAAUAGAGAUAGAAAAUGAUAUUUCAAGAGGGGGAAAUUAUAUUUGGCGGAGACAUUUAUUUUUUUUGUUUGUUGUUUGAGUUUCUAAUGUAUUAUAUACGAGGAUAGUUUGGUCUUUUUCAUUCAAUUUAAAAAUUUAUAUUGACACAGGAUACAAACUAUAAUUUUUUAAAACUUGACAGGCAAUUAUAAUUUUGACCAAACUAUAGGAUGCUAGAAGUAAAUUUGUUUUCUUUUUUUUAGAUUUACAAACUAUUUUUUAAUAUAUCAUCACACUAAGCUAUCUAAUUUGCACUACAUUGUGGGUAAAAGCAAAAGUUUUCUUAAUAGUGCAAAAAAAGAAUGCACAAGUAUCACUAAUGUGUUUUUUACAUCAAGAAAAAUAUUAAUUGUGUUUUUCCAGUAAAAAUAAAAGUCACAUAUUUUUUUCUACAUCACAAGUUUUAAUUAAUUGUUACUUGGAAUAUUUGUUGUUUAGACAACACUCCACCAUUAUUACAAAAGAAAAAUCUAAUUAAAAAAUAUCUUGAUAUUUUUUAUAUGAUUGUAUUAAAAACUAUAAAAAUAACAUAGCACUUUUGCUUUUCCAUGAGGAACUCUUUGCCAACAUCAUUAAAAUUGGCUCAUCGGAUUAACCUUGAAACAUUUUGAUCCGAUUCUUUAACUUACUCGGGUUUCAAAUUAAACUAUAUAGAGGUUGAUUUAAUGUACCUAAGUCAAUUUGGCGGGUCAAAAGCAAUCAAAAUAACAAGUAAAAAUAUGUUUUGAUUUUUUUAAAAUAAGAUGACAUCUUUUUUUUAAAUACGAGGACACGUCAAAUUAAUCCGUGUCAACUUCGACAAACCUGUUAAGCUCGCGACCUAGAUGAUUAAUCUAAAUGGUUUUAGUAACUUUGUUUUUGAAACUAUUUUUUACUUAAUUGUAUAAUAAAAAAAUAAAAAAGCUUGCUAAUAUUUAAAAAAUAUUUCUAUAAUCUUAUAUAAAAACAAGGAAAAAAUUGAAUGGUACCAUGUAAAAUAAUAUAUAAAUAUAUUUUUAUUUAAUUUAAGAAUACAAUAAACAUAAUAUAUUUGUAAUUAAUUAACUUUAUGUUGGAACAAAGUAUUUUUUAUUAAAAAAAUAGAUAGUUAAUUAAGCCCAAGUGAGUUUACACCCGACCCAUAAAAUAAAAUAAAGAGGCUAGGCGUGUUGGUCUGCAAUGUCAGGCAUGCACACUUGACUUUUUUACAUUUUCUUGUUGGUUGGUUGUUGCCUGUUACUUUUUUUUUUUUAGAAAAUCAAAUAACGCGUCAUUUGAAAACCCAUAAUCUGAACACCAGAUAGGUGAUAAAAAAAAACCAGGUUAGUGAUUUUAGCUAGAAAAAUUUAAAACACCUUGAUAACCUAAAAAAUUAGUCUUCCGACUCAAAACACCUUAAAAUUGGUUUAAAAAGCAUAGUAUCGAUUUCUAAAAAAAUCUAUAUAAAUCUAAUUUAUUUUUUUCAGCAAGACAAAGGAAAAAAAAACAUCUAGAUUAAAUUUUUUUCAUCAAAUGAAACCCUUUUAACACACACAAAAAAAAAAACUCGCAUUUCAUUGUUAGAUUUUGACCAACCAUUAACUUUCUUUUCUUUUACAGUUUUUCAAUGAAUUUGUUUUUUUUCAAACCGACAACUAAAAAAAUAAACAAAAUAAAAUUUCAAAUGUUAGUGAGAACUACAAAAACUAAAUGGACCAAAAUUGAUCUCAGAGCAAUUUUAAAGGGAAAAAACACUGAAGGGGAGAGGGAAACAGUAAUCCAAAAAAAAUCGCUGUCUUCCACAUAAUAUCAAACUAGGCUCCUGCAUCCUUUUUGUUUUUUUUCAAGCAAUUUUCUUCUUGUGAAAGCGGGCAUAAAUCAAAUGUUGGAGUAUGUUAUUGUUAGUAGUAACACACAACAAGCCAAUCAAAAUAAUUUUUGAAAUUUAAAUGUGAAACAACGUUCAAUACAAAAAAUAAAAAAUAGUGAAAUAAGUGGUCCAUGAUAUUUUAAGAAUGCGUGGAUAAUGAAUAUGGCAUGCCUUUUAUUUUAUUUUUUUAAUGCGGUGUAAGGUAGAAUUAUUAUUAUUAUUUUUUAUUAAUAUAGAUGUUCGGACCAGCUUUCUAUAUUUUAAUUAAUUUCAUGAACUCUAAAAUUAAUAAUCAUAUAAAUUUUUAAUUGAUAUUAUAUUAGCAUUAACGGGGCUUAAACUUAAAAUCAUAGAAAAAUAAAUUUUUUGAUUUAAGUUCUUAUCAUUCUACUGCCUACUACUAUAUGAAUGUUUAGUAGAAUUAUUACAGUUACCAGUGAUUGGGCAUUACAGCAUGAUUAACUUGACUUUCAAAGUUAAAGGUUCCCAAUUCGGUUUUCAAGCAACAAGUAAUUGACUAGAACUUCUACGAUACUAAUUCUCGUCGGAUAAAAUCUCACGAGUUUAGAUGGCGGCGAGAAUACGGGCCAAGGUGAUGAGAUUUUCAUGGGAUCUCUAUAUACUUUUAAGUUCUACAAACUAUAGUUUUGAAACCCGGUCCGGCCCGGCGGGUCGACCCGGGACCCGGCCGACCCGAGUCUAGGGCCGGGCCGGGUCUAAGCAAAAAACGGCCUGGAAAUUGACCCGGUGAGACCCGGUUGACCCGGUGGGUCGACCCGGGUAAAUCCGGCUGAGACCCGGCCUUAUUUUUUAUAUAUAUAUGAACACAACGACGUCGUUUUUUUUCCUAAACACUCAAUUUAAUUGAAAGUCAUCGUCUCUCUCUGAUUGAAUGUCAUCGUCUCUCUCUGUCUCUGACCCACAAUCUUAAAAUCUGUUCGUUUUUAGCGAUGAUAUCUGUUCAAAAUCUGAUCAAAGAAAGAAAAUACCCUUUCAUCUUUGCUUUUGCUAUCUUACUCGUUUCUGCCAGUAUUUUCUUAUACUCAAAAAAUUUUCAAUCUCUCACAUUCUCUCUCAGAGAUCUACACAAAUCUAACCCCACAAUCUCAAAACCUUCUCAAAAAAUCCAAAUCCAAGGUGUUUGGUGCCUCUUCCUAAUGGGUAUUAAGUGUCAAUUCAGCGGCUGAAAAGCAGGGACAUGGUGAGAUUAUUUUGAUUAAUUCUUUUGGUAAGAUUUUGGUUUUAGUUAAUUUUCUUCCUUUUUAUUUCAGGUUUUAGUUGUUGGGCAAAAUUUGAAAGCUUAAUUUUAAGUGGAGGACUAAGGAUAACAGAAGAUUAUUCUGUUGGAUGGUUCACCUGAGAAUUCACUUGAGUUCAUCCAGGUCCAAAUUGCCAAUGUGGAAUCAAAAUUUGCCACUGCAAUUUUUGACUCUGGUGAGAUUAAAGUGGAGGGAAGAGUGAAAGACAGGAAGCCCCACCUCACCAAGGUAGAUUCAUUUGGUGUUGAUGUGAGCAUGGAAGGCAGCCUCAUACUUUGCAGUCAGGUUGAUCAACCAGGUAUGAUUGGCAGUGUGGGGAAUAUCCUUGGCGAGGAGAAUGUAAAUGUGAGUUUCAUGAGCGUUGGCAAGAUCGCUCCACAAAAACAAGCAGUAAUGACCAUUGGUGUGGAUGAAAAACCCAGCAAGGAAGCGCUAAAGAGGAUCGGGGAGAUACCAGCAGUUGAAGAAUUUGUGUUUCUUAAGUUGUAGGGCGCACAAUUCCGUCAUUCUUGAACCCUCUGUUUUGGGUUGACCCGGGUCAACCCAUCUGACCUGUGACCCAAUCAUUAUACCGGGUUGAUCACCAGGUUUGGUUUUAAAACUAUGCUACAAACACGUGGCCUAUGCCUAGGAUCCAUGUGGAACAAUCAAAAUAGGACUAUUAUUUUGAGAUCUUAUUACAUGAUCUCAAAUCAUCACAAAUCCAACUCACCAUGAAAUAAUUAUGGAGCCCGGCAUUUUAUGUGUAUGGAUUUAUUAAAAAAACUAAUUUGCCUAGCUAUGUAUUAAAAAACAUUGUUUGUUAGAACGUUAUAAUAAUUAUUUUGCCUCGUCAUCCAAAAAAUCUUAAACUAAUUAUUAAAAGUAUUAAUUUUUUUUUACUUGAUUUAUUUCUCAUUAUAGAAAAACCUAUCCCAAUCAAUUGAUGGCCCGAAUAAGCUUUUAGCCUAAGCCCUCUUUAGACAUUAACUUCUAAAUAGAAGUUGAGCAAAUUUUGAUUUUUUUUAUUUAAAAUUAAUUUUUAAAUAUUUUUUAUUGUUUGGAUGGGUUGAUAUUAAAAAUAAUUUUUAAAAAAUAAAAAAAAUAUUAUUUUAAUAUAUUUUUGAAUAAAAAUCACUUUGAAAAAGGUUGAGCAAAUUUUAAAAAGUUUUCUUCCCUUUGCUUGAAAUUUAUUUUUUAAUGUUUUUUUGAUUGUUUUGAUGUGCUGAUAUUAAAAUUGAUUUUUUUUAAAAAAUAUUAUGUUAAUAUAUUUUUAAACAAAAAUCAUUUUAAAAACAACCUUACUAUUCUUUUAAAUACCUUAAUGUUUGGUACUGUAGUUGAAAAGUGUUUUAAAAAAAUUUUAAAUUUUUUUUAUUUUUUUUUAUUUUAAAUUAAUAUGUUUUUGAUGUUUUCAAAUUAUUUUAAUAUAUUAAUGUCAAAAAUAAAUUUUAAAAAAUAAAAAAAAUUAUUUUAAUAUAUUUUAAAAUAAAAAAUACUUAAAAAAAUAACAUUACUCCAAUGAGUUUUAUGUUAGAGGGUAGCUGAAUUGAAUUGGCUUCGGUUCUUGAAGUUCGCCCCCAUCAAUUUUUGACCCCCUCGCACACCCAAAACAAGUAACAAGUAACGAUGAAUAACUUUAAGCUAAUUAUAGUUUAGUGCAUAAAUAGUCAUUUAAACCAUCUCUUAACUUAAUAUUUUUUAUUUUAAAAAUUCCUCAUUUCAUAAUCAAUUUUCCUCCACUAAUUUACUUCUCUUUUCUCUACUCCAUUUUUCAAAAAAUAAAAUAAAUUUAAAAGAACUACGAAAGAGGACUAAACUAUAAAUAUAUUAAAGAAAAAUAUAGGGAUUAAACAAAUAAUUUCUGAAACCACAAAGAUUAAUUAAUUAGUUUUUUCAAAUUACAGCUACUAAGUUAUAAUUUGCUCCACCAGUUCUAGCUAGGCAAGGGUGAAAUUAAAAACAUUCCCUAACCAAUUCCGACCGGGAAAUGCACUAAAAAUAUCCUUCAAGAAGGAUAAUCAAAACCCCAAACACUAAAAUUUCAAGUUUCCUAAUAAGAUAAAAACAGAGGCAAGAUAAGAACCCUGGCACAACCUGAUAAUUUGCCUUUUACAGACAGAAAAAAUAAUAGAAGCUGGCACAUUCCAAUUAGCAGAUUAUUAAAAAAAAACUAAGUUCACUGAAAAAAAUUAAAAUAGCGAACCAAUUUUUGUUAAAAUUUCUCAAACACAAAUGGGAGCCCUACGAACAUACCAUGUUACAGACACAAAGGGAAUCAGAAUACAUAGUUAAACAUUGAUGCCCUGUUUUUAUAGUACAUUUUUUUUUUGUUAAGUUCGCAAGCCAUCUAGACUAAAAGAUGGAGACAUGUCUCAAUCAUCUGAACUAUAUUCACUAGAUUCUGGCAUUAAGGACACAGCCGCACAGCAGAACGAGUCCUUGUCUUUGAGGAGAAGACAGCUUCCAUCUGAAUUCCAUUUCAAAUCAUUUAUGUUAAACUGUGGUAGUGGAUUGCUCACGCAGUAAGCACCUGAAGGGGUCCACAUAUACAAGUGAGAGCUACCAGUGCAGAGAACAAGACGUGGGCAUGUUGGGUCCCAUGCUGCUGCACGUAUGGGAUCCUUCUGCACCAAGAUGGCAGCAAGCUCUAGAUGGUGUAUAUCCCAUAUCCACAGAGCAGUGGGCAUGCUAUCAUUACGUGUAUAAAUAUAUCGGCUGUCUUUACUCCAUGACAUAAGACCUGUAUUUAAGGUCUUGUGUUGUUAGUGCAUUUUGGUUUGAUACUAACAAAAAGGAAAACAAAUCUGCAAGGAACUCUUAAAACAAGCACUAUUAAUUGCAUCGAUAUGCUAUAUGAGAAAGAUGAGCUUUACCAAUGCCUUGUUUAGGAUUCGGUUUGUCUGCAGGAGGCUUCUGGAAAGGCAAACUAAUAGGUACUUCAGUAACCUCGUACAUGACUCUGAAGUGUCCUUCUGAAACAUCUUUUAGGAGGGGGGGAUUAUUAAUUUGACUACGAAAAGUAGUUCAAAAGAAAUAACGUAGUUGCAUGAAGACAUUUUCAAAUUCAUUUUACAGAUCAAGCAUUCUAUUUGUCGUACAAUAUCCAUCUCACUGUGAGAUACUCCAUACUUGCGCUUACCAGAAUUUCCUUGGAGAAAUUCAUCGCUCAAACAUAACUCAGACAUAUUGAGGUGCAAUGGCUCAUCCACCUCCUGUAAAUUUAAGAAAGAGGACUUGUAAGUUGUAGCCAAUUAAAUCAUCUGUGCGCCUAAUGAUAUGAAUAAACAAAGAAAUCCUGUCACCUUGAAAACAGCAGCACAACAAGGACCACGAACGGUUGAUAGAUGCAUGAAUUCAGCAAAUGUUUUCCAAGUUAGGUGAUUCAGAACCCGCAACAUCUGAUCAUAACUACCCACGGCUAGAUAUUGGCCACAAGGAGACCACGAAACACUUUUUACACCUAGCCCACUUUCAUAUGCUUGGUACUUGGAUAGGCACCUCCCAUCUGGGGAAUAAAUUAGAACCUGUAUUGAAUUGCAACAGCCAUAAGCUCUAGGUCUUAUAGAUAAGCAUAUGAUGUUAGAAAAUGCCAAAGUUAACAUGGAGUCUUGGGCACUGGCAAACCAUGAGAUAUAUUACAAAGUGGAGCUCGUGUGUAAUUUCGAAUAGGCAUAAACCAUGAGACCUAAAAUGGAUAACAACAGACAUUUUCAAUGCUUAGCAGUGUACAAUCAUGAAAUGCUAACCGUCACCAAGAAAUUGGAAGGGUGCAAUUCACCCCACAUUUACUUCCUUUCAUGCUUAUAAAGUCAAGCACCCUUGAUACAUGGUAAAUGAAGCAAAAAACGAACUCUAUUACCUUGUAUUCAAGUGGUGAAUCCCAUAUUACAAUAGCACUAUCAUCCGGUGACCACUCUAUAUCAGCUAAGUCCAACGUAUCAACAGCAAAUGCACCCAUUAUCUCCCAUGUAUGACAAGACAGUAGAUUUACAUAAUCCUUGCAAUCACGCCUCGUACAAAUCGCAGCAAAUUUCCCAUCUUUAGUAAAAGAAACCCCUUUAGAGACAUGCUUUGGUCCCUGGACAUGAACACAUGCUGUGUUCAAAAGCGACCAAACUGUUAGCCUCAACUGA